rnacentral:rRNA from 1 species
CAGCCGCCGCGGUAAAACGUAGGGUCCGAGCGUUGUCCGGAAUUAUUGGGCGUAAAGGGCUCGUAGGCGGUUUGUUGCGUCGGGAGUGAAAACCCAGGGCUUAACUUUGGGCUUGCUUUCGAUACGGGCAGACUUGAGGCAUUGAGGGGAGAACGGAAUUCCUGGUGUAGCGGUGAAAUGCGCAGAUAUCAGGAGGAACACCGGUGGCGAAGGCGGUUCUCUGGCAAUGUUCUGACGCUGAGGAGCGAAAGUGUGGGGAGCGAACAGGAUUAGAUACCCGCGUAGUCCCUGUCUCUUAUAC